UUGCUGAUGCGGCUAAGGCAA
rnacentral:snRNA from 1 species